GACUCCGUGGUACAAAUGGUUAAUGUGCUUGGCUGCUAACCGAGAAGUUGGAGGUUCAAAUCUUCCCAGAGUUG
rnacentral:tRNA from 1 species